GAAAUGCGAUAAGUAAUGUGAAUUGCAGAAUUCAGUGAAUCAUCGAAUCUUUGAACGCACCUUGCGCUCCUUGGUAUUCCUUGGAGCAUGCCUGUUUGAGUAUCAUGAAAUCUUCAAAGUAAAUCUUUUGUUAACUCAAUUGGUUUCUACUUUGGUAUUGGAGGUCUUUGCAGCUUCACACCUGCUCCUCUUUGUUCAUUAGCUGGAUCUCAGUGUUAUGCUUGGUUCCACUCGGCGUGAUAAGUUAUCUAUCGCUGAGGACACUGUAAAAGGUGGCCAAGGUAAAUGCAGAUGAACCGCUUCUAAUAGUCCAUUGACUUGGACAAUACUUUUAUGAUCUGAUCUCAAAUCAGGUAGGACUACCCGCUGAACUUAA
rnacentral:misc_RNA from 1 species